UUUCCGGCCUCCCAGAAUGUCUGCUCCGCUGCUCUUCUCCGGAGGGAGGUGGGGUUCGCUGAAAGGCGGGAGGUGGAAGCGGAGGCUGGGAAGGCAAUGCUUGUAAAGGGCAGGGAAGGAUCGAUGAUCUCGGCGUCGCCCCUCUUCAUCGGCCGCUUUCUCCUGUCCGGGUCCUCCGCCCUGCAUGGAAGUCGGAGAGCCUCCGCUGAAAGGUGUGGAGUCAUUCGUUUGGUAUAUAAACCAAGGACAAUCUGGAAAGCCAAAUGUGGGUGGAUACUGUGUUCAAGUGCAUACAGCUUUCGGUAUUAAACACAGCUCCUGAAUGGAUGGAGCUGGAAUGCUACUCUUCUCAGAAGAAACCUGCACUUACCUGGCAAGGUGGCCAGAGUUGGAUCCUCCAGAAAAACAGCUCCUGGAUAGAGCGGAAUAGAUCUCCUCUGCCCCGGAGCUCUGCUGAAAUCUCCUCUGUGAAUGGCUCCUGCAUCAGAAGAACAAACUAGUUCAUAAUCCACUUUCAGAGGACCAUAUCCAUGUUAGUUUGGGCUGCGAGGUUGGCAGGAUGGCUGGAGCAGAGAGCUUCCUUCCCUCUAUGCUCCCUUCCUGGAGACGGGACUUGCUGUCCCUAGGCGUAAAGCGUUUCUCCCGGUGAUUCGUCUGCCGGGUUGCUAGAGCAGAAGGGAGCGUAGAGGACCUAGGGUUUUGGUUGAACAGAGCUGGCGCCGAUCCCCUCAUUUUUUAUGUCUCUGUUUAAAUAUUCCUCCUCUGGAAAUUGUGAAACAAUAGAUUAUACUGGAGAAAAUCUUAUCUAUCUGAAUAACCAAUACUCAUUUGAUGGCCUGUAACCAAUUUAUCAAGAAUUUGUAUAACUAAAGAUCAAAAAUAAGAUAUAAAUAUUUCUUAAUUUCAUAUGAUAACUAAAUAGACUUCUCAGAGUAGCAAUUUGCAUAUGUUUUACAUAGGAAUUAUACUUUCCUCCUUUACGUGUUGAAUUUAUAAUAUAAAUAUAUUUAUUAUUUACCAUUCAAAGCUCUUUGAAAAUCAGACUGUUGUUUUCAGUCCUUUUAGCAGUUCUUGCUAAAAGACAAGAAGUGAACUCAGAACAAAGAGUAGCAAAGUUGAUUCUUAAAUGCCGCCACCCCCAAAUUUAAGCAUUUGUUAUAGGAGGCUUUUCCCUUUCUGGUCAAAUAUUACAGGUAAGUUUGUAAAUGGGGAACAAGAACUGCUUACUUAUCUGGCAAGGGAAGAAAGCACGAAUUAAAGUGAAAAUGCUACAAGAAGCUAAAGACGGGGGAGAAUUUGGGCUUCCGUAGUGGAGACUAUAUUAUCAAGAAGCUAUCUUACCGUGGCUUAAAGAAUGGAUAACACUGAGAAAGAAAAGGUUACUGUACCUAGAGGGGCAUGACCUACAAAUGGGUUGGCAUGCUUUUCUGUGGUACGGGAAAAAUAAAACACACAGAUAUUUCCAAAACCAUGCUAUAAGGAAUGUACUGCUUUUAGAAUGGGAAAGAAUAAAACAAAAAAUUUACGUUAAACUACCUGAGUGGUUUUCAACAACGGGAGCUUUUGCUUACCCAAAUUUAAUUAACUACGACAAAGUUAUUACUUACAAAGAUAUUUUGGACAAGGAUGGAAAACUGAAAGAUAGGUAAGACUUACAACAACAAGGUAUUGACUUAGCAUGGUGGCCUUAUUUACAAAUUCAAACAAGAUACGAAAAAGAUGUAAAGACAAUGGGAGAACAGAUAGAAUUUGAUCGAAUACUUUUAAAAAUAGAUGAACACUUGAUUAAGAAACUUUACAGAUUUCUUCAAAAGUUGAAGAUGAAAGACGGACAAGUAAAAGAAACAAUGAUAAUAUGGGCAAAAUUGUUUGGAUACUCUAUAGACUUAGAAGAUUGGCAAAAGUUAUGGGAUAGAAACAUUAAACUGACUAAAGCAGCUUCAAAGAAAAUUUGUAUAAAAUGUUUUAUAGAUGGCACAUGACACCAGUUUAAGACUAGCAAAAAUGUUUUAAAAUGUUUCGAACAACUGUUGGAAAUGCAAACAAAAGCCAGGCACUUAUUAUCAUACCUGGUGGGUAUACCCUAGUGUGAAAAAAAUUUUGGCUUAAGAUUCAUAUAUAGUUGGAAAAAAUGACUAAAACACAGAUAGAAUUUAAACCAGAACUGUUUUUGUUAAGAAUACUAGGAGCUAAGUAUGAGAAGGAAAAUGAGUAUUUAAUAUUGCAUACAUUGACAGCAGCGAGAAUAGCAUUUGCCCAAUAUUGGAAAAAUGAAAAUUUACCAUCUGAAGAGAUCAUAAGAAAAUUUUAGAAUGUGCAGAAAUGGAUAGAUUAAUUUUAGAGUUUAAAGAGAAAGAACACUCAAUUUAUUUUAAAACAUGGAAUAACCUCUAUCAAUGGUUAGCAAAACGAACUAGUGAGAAAUGAUUGUGAUAUUUAAUGGUAAAUAUAUUUUAAUAAGAUGAAGGAUAUGUAUUGAUUAACUGAUAUUGUUUAUGAUUAUUGUUUCUUAUAUUUAUUAUAGCUAUUUACUAUUAUAUUAAUUACUGUUAUUGAACAUAUGUACCCGGACAAUAGUCUAUUUGCUAAAGCUUGAAAAUGUUACUGGGGGCCAGCCCCAAUGUUGUUCCCAAUCCUGUCCCAACCCCAAUCCUGAUUCCAACCCUACCUCAAACCUUAAUCCCUACCUUGAUCCUAUCCUUCCCCAACCUCAUAAAACUCAAUAAAAAAAUUUUUUAUAAACAAUUUUUAUUAUUUUUCCAUUUUAUACCAACAGAGGCUUAAGAACCGGCCUGGAGAUACGGUGGUCAAUUACAAAAAGAAAACAAUAGCAUUAUAAGUAUACAAUUCACACAAUAUUUCUUAAAACUUCCCCUUAUCUAUGUAGAAUAUAGAAUAAAACUAUCUAUGUAGAAUAUUAUAAUCAAUUAAAUUCAAAUAAAUUCAUUCAUUAAUAUAUCUAAAUAUAAAUUUCCUUAAUCAGUAAAGACUUUCAACCACUCAAUAUCAAUAUAAUAAUCAAAUUAGUACAAUCCUCUAACCAAUUCAUUCAUUAAUAUAUCGCUAUAUAUAAAUUAAAUGCUUGAAUCAAAACCAACGCUCUUUAUUUAAAUUACUGGACUUUCAUUAGUACAUUUCAACACAGAUUUUCAUUAAGUAUAUUGCCAGAUAUAAAUUUCAUUAGUCAAUAAUCUUUUAUGAAAGCUCCUUAUCUAUCACAAAGAUCCUGUUUUAAACUUUAUUAAUUUUUCCAAAUAUUUGACUUUAAGCUAACCUAAUUAUUUAACUAUUUCAGGGCCCCCAAAUUUCUCUUAUUUAGCUCCAAAACUAAAUUCCUACAUUUCUCAACUAUAUUUCUAUUCUUUUCCAAUAAUUCUCCAAUUAUUAAUUCCAUCUCAUUCCAAAACAAAAACCACAAAUAGGAAAAGAAAAAAAGAAAAACAUACACACACAAAAAAACUCAUUCUUGCUAUACUUCAAUAUUAAAUUCUAAAUCAUUUCAUAAUAGCCUCCCAUUUAACACAAACCAAAUCCAAGACAGUCCAAAUUGCUAUAAAACCUUUACCAUCCAUAAUUAUCAUCUCAAAUUUAAUAUUUAUAUCUUAUUCUGGGUUUCCUUCUAUUCCAAAUAGGUUUCCAUAGUCGAGUCUCUAGUUCCGCAAAUAGCUCUCCCAUUGUCACCUGCCAUACUGUGCAUAGGAGCAAGAGAUCUCCCAUUAUCCAUUUUCUUAGGCUGGUAUAAGAGUUAUAGUCAUUCUGAAAAGCUCAUGCCAAAACGUCAUUUACCAUCUUUUUCAAGGUUGCAUAAACUUUAGUUGAAAUCCUUUUUUUGGGGGGGGGGUGUAUAGUCCUCUUUAAUCAAGUUUUGCUCUUCUUCCAAUAGUUUUUCCUUUCUCAGACAGUCAAAUCAUAUCUGCAAAUCCGCUUGACCAUCCGAAGCUCCUCCAUUUCCGUAUCAUAGGUCAUCUGACCAUUUAUAUCAAAGCUUGUUCCUGGUAUCGGUUCCAAAUCCAACUGUACAUUUGCUUCUUCCGUCUCAGUAAGCUGAGAGCAAGUUUUUUGAAUACAGACUACAGUUUCACUUAAAGCUUGUGCUUAACUUUGUCGAUGUAAAGAAAUCUCCUUUUUACAAACAAUUAUCAUCUCCAUGUUUUCUAAGAUUUUAUCCAAAAUAUAUUUAUAAAUAGUCUGAACAGGUUUUCUCCAUUUUUAUCAUAUUUGAAGACAUUAUCUUUUGGGGGGAGACUAUAUUUAAACACAGUCACUCAAUAUCCAUCUCCCCCCAAGUUUCUUAGUCCAUUUCUUUUAUGCAAAUUCCAAGAGAAAAGAAAAAAAAAUAGCAAGAGCAAUACAUAGUUUCAUCAGAAAAUGUCCCCCAACAAGUAAUCAAAAUUAAUCAAAUAAUCAGUCUUUUCGGAAAACAUAAAAAGUAAAAAAAAAAAAAAUACUCUCCAGAUACAUAGCCUCUUAAGUCUCUCUAAAAGAAAAUUUUUGGGGGCUCCAAAGUAUUCAAAAAUAGAAUCAGCCAUUAAAACAAAGAUAGAUUUCGUCCUUAAGCUUCUCCUCCCCCCAUUUAAAACGCCGCUUCAACAAAAAGAGGAAUAAUUCCACAAAAAAAAAAAA